rnacentral:rRNA from 1 species
GACGAACGCUGGCGGCGUGCUUAACACAUGCAAGUCGAACGGAAAGGCCCUGCUUUUGUGGGGUGCUCGAGUGGCGAACGGGUGAGUAACACGUGAGUAACCUGCCCUUGACUUUGGGAUAACUUCAGGAAACUGGGGCUAAUACCGGAUAGGAGCUCCUGCUGCAUGGUGGGGGUUGGAAAGUUUCGGCGGUUGGGGAUGGACUCGCGGCUUAUCAGCUUGUUGGUGGGGUAGUGGCUUACCAAGGCUUUGACGGGUAGCCGGCCUGGGAGGGUGACCGGCCACAUUGGGACUGGGUAACGGCCCGUACUCCAAAGGGAGGCAGCAGUGGGGAAUAUUGCCAAAGGGGCGGAGGCCGGAGGCAGCACCGCCGCGUGCGGGAGGACGGCCUUCGGGUUGUAAACCGCUUUGGCCUGUGACGAAGCGUGAGUGACGGUAAGGGGUAAAGAAGCACCGGCUAACUACGU